rnacentral:lncRNA from 1 species
ACACGUAGCCAAUAUCAUCAGCCGUCGGCGUGUACGUUUUGCAACCCCCGACCUCGACCAGCGUCUCUCCUCCGUUCUUCUGCGCGAUGCUAGAAGGAUAAAACGGCGUCGGUGGCCCGUUGAGACUCGACAUUGAAGCAGACAAGGUGCUGGCGAGGACACCAGAGGCGGCGCUGUUGGCACGUGACAAGUCAUUAUUAUUAUCUUCUUCGCUGUUACCGUUCUCAGCGGCUGCACGCUCGUGCAGAGUCUUGUGGUGCUGCCACGCGUCGGUAAAGCAUUUGGGAGAGCAGUGGUAGCUUUUGGAGACGAGAGCUGGACGCUUCGAGCAGAAGACGCAUUGCAAAGUGGCUUGCUCCGUCGGGUGGACGCUGCAGAUCGUUACUUUCUUAUCGCUCUGUACACGAAACCUAAAUCGAGAAAGAAGGAAUCUUUAAGAUCAAAAUCGAAACUUUGAUGAAACCCAAUUCGGGGAUUGGGUUAAAGGGAGGAGCUUUAUUGUUACCAUCUGUAUCGGAGGAAGUAGCCUUCGAGGGGAGAAGACUCAGGGACAUCUUCGGUGGCGGCGGACUUAUCGGGGCGGCGGACGAGGACGUAAGGGGUUAGCUCGCAGCCCACGAUGGGAAUUUCGGAAGGGAGGUGAACUCGGAUCACGCUAAGCAUUGCAGAGUAGCAGUAGCGAAGAAGAGAAUCGAAUGUGUUGAGUGAGGCUGAUCGAACAUUUACUUUGACCUAAAAACCCUAGAUUUUAUUUGUCUCUCUCAGUAACAAACCAACUUAGAUCUUUGAGAAAAGUAAGAAAAUAAAAGGAAUUGAGAAUUAAAACUUGAAAAUUUGAGAAUCCGAGAAAAAUCUUUUAUUUGUUAGAGUAGAGAUGUGGAUCUUUGAGAAGAGUUCAUGGAUCGAUUCUCACGCUGAUAAUGGGGAAAAAAUAUCAAUCAAAGAGGAUCAAUCGUAUAGAGAAAAUAAAAACUACUAUUACAUUGGAGGACCCAAGAAAAUUAUUUUUAUAUUGAUUUAAUAUUAUAUAAUUUUUUUUGUUGUUUUUCUGUGUGGAGGUAAUUAAAACUUUCAAAGGAAUUUGGUUUUGGCGCUGAAAUUUUGAAGAAAGUAAAGCAAUUUUUUUUAAAAAAAAAACUCAAUUCAUGGAGAAGAGACAAAACUGUUAUUAACCAUUGUACAUUGAGAUUUAAUGGUUUGUAGUUUCCCCUACCGGUAAUAGAAAAAAAAAAACUUGAGAAAAGUAGAUGAGUGCUCAACAACACCUUCACUAAAAUGCAGUGCAAUUUUCUUCUUGGUGAUCAAGAGUCAAACACACCUUGCAUAUUUAUUUCAAUAUAUCCAAGUCUGAUUAAAACCAAGUAAAUAGUCAAACCAUGAUUUGUGUUUGAAUCAGCUGGUUUACGGUUUAAAUCAACCCCUACUACGGUUAUGAAUGGGAGCUUUUUUCAAAAAUUAUAUAAUCACAACUUCAGAGAAAGUCUUGAGUUUGGCAAUUGUACAGAUGGUGUGGUCACUUUCUCAGUACCAAGCAAUCCAAACUUUGAUCAGUCACAUAACUCACAAAACUAUAUUUUUUUGUAUGGUUAAAACUAUAUUUAGCUUCUUGUUCUUUUUCCUUCUCUACUUCUUCUCGCUUUGUAUCUAAAUCUUGAUGUUCAGACGAUCUUUGGAGGCCGAGGCUUGAUGGAGCCUUUUAAGCAGUUGUGGCAGGAGAAAGUGGUCAAGGAGGUGGAGGCGGAGGGGUGAUCGAAGGAAGAGAUUUCAAUGGCUCUUAUCCUCCAACGAGAGAUUACUCAGACUCUUCUCUACCAACUUAGACUUUGUCUCUUUAUCACUCCUCUGUUUCAAUCAUUUCAAUGUGAAAAAAAAAAAAACAAGAAACAGAACAUGUAUCUAGCGCAAUAACUGUAUAACGGCCCGACCACCCACGGCUAAUGGGCCACCCACGUACGCUCUCUCGGUCCGUGGGUCCCAUCCCAUCCCACGGUCGGUCCGUUAAUUUAUGAAGGCUUGAAAUCAUUGUUUACUAACCCUGCAACCAACAUUUUUUCAUUUCCAAAACUUAAAAUGGUGAGCCGAGACAAUACCUCUUGAAGGCAGACAACAUCAGCUCGAUAAGCAACAAUCUCCCUCAACAAAUUCUGCCUUCUAUAAGGCCAAGAAAGAGCCCAAGUAGGACAGUAACUGUAAAGCUCGCUACUCGCAGAAGUAUCAGACAAUAUAUUGUAAGAAAGAACAGUGAACGAUCCUGCAGACUGAAUCCGACCAUCUUGAUCCAAGUGACCACCCACCACAUCAGCUCCAUUAACAGGGAUAAGCCUCCGAGGCCUCGGAGAAGGAGCAGGAAUCACACGCGAAGUCAUAAUCGUACUAGGAUGCCCCACAGACUGCUUACUCUCGGCAACAGCCACCACACACUCGAACUUCAACACGUAGCCAAUAUCAUCAGCCGUCGGCGUGUACGUUUUGCAACCCCCGACCUCGACCAGCGUCUCUCCUCCGUUCUUCUGCGCGAUGCUAGAAGGAUAAAACGGCGUCGGUGGCCCGUUGAGACUCGACAUUGAAGCAGACAAGGUGCUGGCGAGGACACCAGAGGCGGCGCUGUUGGCACGUGACAAGUCAUUAUUAUUAUCUUCUUCGCUGUUACCGUUCUCAGCGGCUGCACGCUCGUGCAGAGUCUUGUGGUGCUGCCACGCGUCGGUAAAGCAUUUGGGAGAGCAGUGG